GACGAACCGUGCGAACGUUAUUCGGAAUCACUGGGCUUAAAGCGCGUGUAGGCGGAUGGGGACGUCGGUCGCUGAAAGCCCCCGGCUCAACCGGGGAAUGGGCGCCGAAACGCCCCGUCUGGAGGGACGUAGGGGGACCUGGAACUUCCGGUGGAGCGGUGAAAUGCGUUGAGAUCGGAAGGAACGCCCGUGGCGAAAGCGAGGUCCUGGACGUCAUCUGACGCUGAGACGCGAAAAGCUAGGGGAGCGAACGGG
rnacentral:rRNA from 1 species